GAUUCAUCCUUGCUCGCAAGUGCAGAAAGCUGUCGGACCUGACCAAAGAAGAAAGGCUGAAGAGGAUCUGUGAGAUUUACUCCAGAGUGCUGGGCUCAGAGGAAGCUCUGCAUCCUGUGCACUAUGAGGAGAAGAACUGGUGUGAGGAGGAGUACUCUGGUGGCUGCUACACCGCCUAUUUCCCCCCAGGAAUCCUGACCCAGUU